UACAGAGGUCUCAAGCGUUGUUCGGAAUCACUGGGCGUAAAGGGUGCGUAGGUGGCGUGGCAAGUCAGAUGUGAAAGCCCGGGGCUCAACCUCGGAAUAGCAUCCGAUACUACCAUGCUAGAGUACUGAAGAGGUGACUAGAAUUCUCGGUGUAGCAGUGAAAUGCGUAGAUAUCGAGAGGAAUACCAACGGCGAAGGCAGGUCACUGGGCAGUUAUUGACACUGAGGCACGAAGGCCAGGGGAGCAAACGGG
rnacentral:rRNA from 1 species